CGGCAAGACGGAAAGACCCCGUGAACCUUUACUAUAGCUUGACACUGAACACUGGUCCUUGAUGUGUAGGAUAGGUGGGAGGCUUUGAAGCGUGGACGCCAGUCUGCGUGGAGCCAUCCUUGAAAUACCACCCUUUAAUGGCUGGUGUUCUAACGUAGACCCGUUACCCGGUUGCGGACAGUGUCUGGUGGGUAGUUUGACUGGGGCGGUCUCCUCCCAAAGAGUAACGGAGGAGCACGAAGGUUAGCUAAUCCUGGUCGGACAUCAG
rnacentral:rRNA from 1 species